UACAGAGGUCCCAAGCGUUGUUCGGAUUCACUGGGCGUAAAGGGUGCGUAGGCGGUCGGGUAAGUCUGAUGUGAAAUCUCACAGCUUAACUGUGAAACUGCAUUGGAUACUAUCCGGCUCGAGGAAUGGAGGGGAGACUGGAAUACUUGGUGUAGCAGUGAAAUGCGUAGAUAUCAGGAGGAACACCAAUGGCGAAGGCAGCUCGCUGGGACGUGACUGACGCUGAGACGCGAAAGCGUGGGGAGCAAACAGG
rnacentral:rRNA from 1 species